rnacentral:misc_RNA from 1 species
CUUUCACUGGUCGUAAGCUUAUUAAAACGGUAAAAUACACACCGGGGCGAGAGCUGGUUAAGUUUGGCAAUGCGUGGACUCUUUAAAGUCUUUCCACGGUUCGAGACUAAUCGGAGGGGGAGGGGAGGAACUGGAUUUGCGGAGCCGUGCUCGAGAGCUGGCCGCGGGUGAACUGGGUGGAGGUAGAGGCUAGGUUGGAAGUGCUGGCACGGGCCUCGAAGAGGUUUAGGGAUCGUGCCGUCUCAUUGGCAGUUACUUCGUCAGGGGUUGGGGUGCGUGUGAGUCCGCCGAGGGGUUCCAGAGCUGCGGGGUUGAGGAGGCCAUCGAAGAAGUCGAAGCCGGCCCAGCGGUGUUCGAACUUGAUGUUGGCGCGGGCGAAGCCUGCCGGUGGGAGAUUUCUGGAAAGCCGGGCGUUCCAGAUGAUUUUGGCGUAGAAGCGGCAGAACUUCCGCAGGGUGGUGGUGACUUUCACAACCCCGGCGAUUUGGGCCAGAGAGAUGGUGGCUGUGGG